rnacentral:rRNA from 1 species
UACGUAGGGGGCAAGCGUUGUCCGGAAUCAUUGGGCGUAAAGAGCGUGUAGGCGGCUCGGUAAGUCCGCUGUGAAAGUCCAGGGCUCAACCCUGGAAUGCCGGUGGAAACUGUCGAGCUAGAGUCCGGAAGAGGCGAGUGGAAUUCCUGGUGUAGCGGUGAAAUGCGCAGAUAUCAGGAGGAACACCAAUGGCGAAGGCAGCUCGCUGGACGGUACUGACGCUGAGACGCGAAAGCGUGGGGAGCAAACAGG